CCAGGGAAUAGUGCUGAGAGUAGCAGAAGCGUCCGGGACUGGGGAACGCUGAGGGUUGACCUGGAAACCUCUGGGAGGCCAGUCCAGAGGGAAGGGGCCCCGCACCUGGCCCAAGGAAGAAUGGUGGUGGUGAAUAAGUUGGAGGUAGACUUGGUGAUGUCCUUGUUCCUCUCCUCUCCUCCAUCUUGUUCGUAACGGAAUAUCACAGUGAAAACCACAGUUCAGAAAUUACCUAUUCUCUUUCUGCCUUAUGAGGAGACAAAAUACCAAAGCCUCAACCGUAUCUGAUUCACAGGUGGAAGCAGAUAAUUCUGAGCCCCAGGAAAUAAUGGAGGCAGAAGAUUAACAAGUCUCCUGUGUGAGUCACCAGAUGGAGGACAGCUGCAAACCAAGCAGGACACCUGUGGCAAGAAAUCAACUAUUGUAUGAAGUCACUGAAAUCAAGAGGGUUCUUUGUUAGAGUAGCUGACAUUGUACGCACGGAUACUCUGACCCUUCCUCUCUGGUCCCCUGAUAACAGUAAACCUUGGACACCCGCCUGUCAUUCUGCGACAUGAACCUCUAAUCCCCAGUUGUGGUGUCCAGGCUUUCAUAUAGCAGUUUCAUACAGUGGCCCAAAGGCUUUAUGUUUACUAAUUAAAAAUUACCAGUAUAGGGGCGCCUGGAUGGUUCAGUGGGUUAAAGCCUCUGCCUUCAGCUCAGGUCAUGAUCCCAGGG